UUCUCCCCCCUCCUCCCCCCUCCCUAACCAUCAAGUCUUUGGCAUCAUUAUCCUCUUCACUAAAUCCUACUGGAUACAAGGCGGAAAACGGUGAACAC
rnacentral:lncRNA from 1 species